rnacentral:rRNA from 1 species
ACGGAAGGCAGCAGUGGGGAAUAUUGGGCAAUGGGCGAUAGCCUGACCCAGCAACGCCGCGUGAAGGAAGAAGGCCUUCGGGUUGUAAACUUCUUUUACCAGGGACGAAGGACGUGACGGUACCUGGAGAAAAAGCAACGGCUAACUACGUGCCAGCAGCCGCGGUAAUACGUAGGUUGCAAGCGUUGUCCGGAUUUACUGGGUGUAAAGGGCGUGUAGGCGGAGCUGCAAGUCAGAUGUGAAAUCCCGGGGCUCAACCCCGGAACUGCAUUUGAAACUGUUGCCCUUGAGUAUCGGAGAGGCAGGCGGAAUUCCUAGUGUAGCGGGGAAAUGCGUAGAUAUUAGGAAGAACACCAGUGGCGAAGGCGGCCUGCUGGACGACAACUGACGCUGAGGCGCGAAAGCGUGGGGAGCAAACAGGAUUAGAUACCCUGGUA